GUUCGGGGAAAUGCGCGUGACUCUAUUUCUCGGGGGGAUAGCCAGAACUUGAAUCAUCUCUUUCUACUGGGGUGUGAGUUCAUGCUGAGCUGCAGGCUUUGGGGGGAGGGAGGAAGAGGGGCGGUGGUGGAGGCCCGGAAAGGCAAGGAGAUAUAAUUGAAUAUCAAUAGAGGAAGCCUGCUUUGGAGUAAGAAGAAAUGGGUCGGAGAUCUAUCUCGCCCCGGUUCUGUCUGAAAAUCUCAAAGGCCUAUGAGCUUGAAAACCUAUGAUUCUAUGAACAAGAUGUCAAGGAGAAGAAGAGAAGAGAGGAGAGCAGAGAAGAAGAAAGAAGAGGAGAAGAAAGGAGAGAAGGGGAGGGGAGACUAGAAGAGAAUCAAGGGAAGGGAUAAUUUUGGUAGAAAACCAAAUUGGGGAGUCAUCUAUAGCAGAUGAGUGGAAGUUUGGAGAGUCCUAGGCUUAGAAAAUGGACAGUUGUGGUCACUGGGUAGGGGGUUUGGAAAAUAUGAAUGAAAUAAAUGAAUAAUUGAAUGAAUAAAUGAAAAAGCAAUUAUUAAGUAUUUACUAUAUGCCAAAAUCUUCUAAGCAUAUGCAAACAGAAUAAAGUAGAUAGUUCUUGUUUUCAAGGAGCUCACAGUCUACUCGGAGAAAACAACAUAUUAAAGAAAAUUCAGCUUUGAGGAAUAUUGAAAAGCCCCAAAGUUCGUAGGUUAAGACAGUAAGUCAGAAGACAAGGGAGGAAGGGGAGAAUGUAGAGCACAGGGACAAGGAAAUAGUAAGGUUACUAUCUCCUUGUAAGGUCUAGUGAUCCUCCAUCUCUUAGAUGAGUUGAUGAUUUCCAUAGCAUCUGUUGCAUGUAUAGUCAAAGCCAUAUGAGUUCUGAUGAAAAGAACAGAAGACUAGAUUCCAGUAGAGCCUUUCUUUAUAUCCCUAGCACUUAACACAUCGCACAUUGUGUUGCCUGGCACAUUGCAGGCUCUUAAAAAUGCUUAUUGAUGGAUGCCCAUCAUCAGUUGGAGAAUGGCUGAAUAAAUUGUGGUAUAUGAAUGUUAUGUGAUAUUAUUGUUCUGUAAGGAAUGACCAGCAGGAUGAAUACAGAGUGACUUGGAGAGACUACAUGAACUGAUGCUGAAUGAAAUGAGCAAGACCAGGAGAUCAUUCUACAUGGCAACAACAAGACUAUAUAUACAAUGAUCAAUUCUGAUGGACGUGGCCCUCUUCAACAAUGAGAUGAUUCAAACCAACUACAAUAGUUCAGUGAUGAAGAAAGCCAUCUACACCCAAAGAGAGGACUGUGGAAACUGAGUGUGGAGCACAGCAUAGCAUUCUCACUCUCUCUGUUGUUCUUUGCUUGUACUUUUUCUUUCUCAGUUUUUUUUUCCUCCUUGAUCUGAUUUUUCUUGUGCAGCAAGAUAACUGUAUAAAUAUGUAUACAUAUAUUGGAGUUAACAUACAUUUUUACAUAUUUAACAUGUAUUGGACUACCUGCCAUCUAGGGGAAGGGGUGGGAGGAAGAAGGGGAUAGUAUGGAAAAGAAGGCUUUGCAAGGGUCAAUAUUGAAAAAUUACCCACACUUAUGUUUUGUAAAUAAAAAGCUUUAAUUAAAAAAUAGAAAAUG